CCUACGGGAGGCAGCAGUAGGGAAUCUUCCGCAAUGGGCGAAAGCCUGACGGAGCAACGCCGCGUGAGUGAUGAAGGUCUUCGGAUCGUAAAACUCUGUUAUCAGGGAAGAACAAAUGUGUAAGUAACUGUGCACAUCUUGACGGUACCUGAUCAGAAAGCCACGGCUAACUACGUGCCAGCAGCCGCGGUAAUACGUAGGUGGCAAGCGUUAUCCGGAAUUAUUGGGCGUAAAGCGCGCGUAGGCGGUUUUUUAAGUCUGAUGUGAAAGCCCACGGCUCAACCGUGGAGGGUCAUUGGAAACUGGAAAACUUGAGUGCAGAAGAGGAAAGUGGAAUUCCAUGUGUAGCGGUGAAAUGCGCAGAGAUAUGGAGGAACACCAGUGGCGAAGGCGACUUUCUGGUCUGUAACUGACGCUGAUGUGCGAAAGCGUGGGGAUCAAACAGGAUUAGAUACCCUGGUAGUCCACGCCGUAAACGAUGAGUGNUAGUGUUAGGGUUUCCGGUCCCGUUCGUGUCGUG
rnacentral:rRNA from 1 species